rnacentral:misc_RNA from 1 species
AAAAAAAAAAAGGAAAAAGAAAGAGUGUGCAGCUGACAAAUUUGAAUAAGCAGGUGAGGUGAUACGAGAAAAGCAAUAUAGGAAGUUAAACACAAUGAUAAUAACGUUGGUCUUGUAUGAAAAGUCUUAAAACUGAAUUUCAUUUAUGCUUUUGAUUUCUAUAUGUUAUACAAAUGUCCACAGAAUUACAACACCAAAUAGGUAC